rnacentral:rRNA from 1 species
CUCGUAGUUGAACCUUGGGUCUGGCUGGCCGGUCCGCCUCACCGUGAGUACUGGUCCGGCUGGACCUUUCCUUCUGGGGAAUCUCAUGGCCUUCACUGGCUGUGGGGGGAACCAGGACUUUUACUGUGAAAAAAUUAGAGUGUUCAAAGCAGGCCUUUGCUCGAAUACAUUAGCAUGGAAUAAUAGAAUAGGACGUGCGGUUCUAUUUUGUUGGUUUCUAGGACCGCCGUAAUGAUUAAUAGGGAUAGUCGGGGGCGUCAGUAUUCAGCUGUCAGAGGUGAAAUUCUUGGAUUUGCUGAAGACUAACUACUGCGAAAGCAUUCGCCAAGGAUGUUUUCAUUAAUCAGGGAACGAAAGUUAGGGGAUCGAAGACGAUCAGAUACCGUCGUAGUCUUAACCAUAAACUAUGCCGACUAGGGAUCGGACGGUGUUUCUAUUAUGACCCGUUCGGCACCUUACGAGAAAUCAAAGUUUUUGGGUUCUGGGGGGAGUAUGGUCGCAAGGCUGAAACUUAAAGAAAUUGACGGAAGGGCACCACCAGGCGCGGAGCCUGCGGCUUAAUUUGACUCAACACGGGGAAACUCACCAGGUCCAGACAAAAUAAGGAUUGACAGAUUGAGAG